rnacentral:rRNA from 1 species
AUGAACGCUGGCGGCGUGCCUAAUACAUGCAAGUCGAACGAGUUCUGAUUAUUGAAAGGUGCUUGCAUCUUGAUUUAAUUUUGAACGAGUGGCGGACGGGUGAGUAACACGUGGGUAACCUGCCCUUAAGUGGGGGAUAACAUUUGGAAACAGAUGCUAAUACCGCAUAAAUCCAAGAACCGCAUGGUUCUUGGCUGAAAGAUGGCGUAAGCUAUCGCUUUUGGAUGGACCCGCGGCGUAUUAGCUAGUUGGUGAGGUAACGGCUCACCAAGGCAAUGAUACGUAGCCGAACUGAGAGGUUGAUCGGCCACAUUGGGACUGAGACACGGCCCAAACUCCUACGGGAGGCAGCAGUAGGGAAUCUUCCACAAUGGACGCAAGUCUGAUGGAGCAACGCCGCGUGAGUGAAGAAGGCUUUCGGGUCGUAAAACUCUGUUGUUGGAGAAGAAUGGUCGGCAGAGUAACUGUUGUCGGCGUGACGGUAUCCAACCAGAAAGCCACGGCUAACUACGUGCCAGCAGCCGCGGUAAUACGUAGGUGGCAAGCGUUAUCCGGAUUUAUUGGGCGUAAAGCGAGCGCAGGCGGUUUUUUAAGUCUGAUGUGAAAGCCCUCGGCUUAACCGAGGAAGUGCAUCGGAAACUGGGAAACUUGAGUGCAGAAGAGGACAGUGGAACUCCAUGUGUAGCGGUGAAAUGCGUAGAUAUAUGGAAGAACACCAGUGGCGAAGGCGGCUGUCUGGUCUGUAACUGACGCUGAGGCUCGAAAGCAUGGGUAGCGAACAGGAUUAGAUACCCUGGUAGUCCAUGCCGUAAACGAUGAAUGCUAGGUGUUGGAGGGUUUCCGCCCUUCAGUGCCGCAGCUAACGCAUUAAGCAUUCCGCCUGGGGAGUACGACCGCAAGGUUGAAACUCAAAGGAAUUGACGGGGGCCCGCACAAGCGGUGGAGCAUGUGGUUUAAUUCGAAGCAACGCGAAGAACCUUACCAGGUCUUGACAUCUUUUGAUCACCUGAGAGAUCAGGUUUCCCCUUCGGGGGCAAAAUGACAGGUGGUGCAUGGUUGUCGUCAGCUCGUGUCGUGAGAUGUUGGGUUAAGUCCCGCAACGAGCGCAACCCUUAUGACUAGUUGCCAGCAUUUAGUUGGGCACUCUAGUAAGACUGCCGGUGACAAACCGGAGGAAGGUGGGGAUGACGUCAAAUCAUCAUGCCCCUUAUGACCUGGGCUACACACGUGCUACAAUGGAUGGUACAACGAGUUGCGAGACCGCGAGGUCAAGCUAAUCUCUUAAAGCCAUUCUCAGUUCGGACUGUAGGCUGCAACUCGCCUACACGAAGUCGGAAUCGCUAGUAAUCGCGGAUCAGCACGCCGCGGUGAAUACGUUCCCGGGCCUUGUACACACCGCCCGUCACACCAUGAGAGUUUGUAACACCCGAAGCCGGUGGCGUAACCCUUUUAGGGAGCGAGCCGUCUAAGGUGGGACAAAUGAUUAGG